UAUUUCGACGGGCACGAGCCCCCUCGCCUCAUCUGGCCCCGUGCGGCGGCGGCGACGACUCCACCUGACCUGGCCUGCGGCGACGACUCCUCAAUCCUCAUCUGUACUUCUCUGACCGUCGGGUAUCGGCCAGAUCCGUGGGGGCGCCGUGUUCUGCGGAGGACCUAGAUCGCAUCGCGUGCGAUGCCGCGCGACUUGUCACGGUCGCGUUCUCCGCCGCGCCGGCGGCAGCGGUCGCCGUCCCCCGCGCGGUACCGCGGCCGGAGAGGGCGCCGGGACCGAAGCCCAAGCCCCGUCCGUAGCAGAUCCCCCUAUCGCCCCGCGUAUAGGUGACCUCAGCUACACUCUCGCACCACCACAGAAAUCUGGCGACUCUUUUCUUUAUUUAUUUAUUUAGGUUGUAUACUGUAAAAAAACAUGAGGUGUUGCUAGUCCGCUUAUGGAAUUUUUAUACUGUACAGUUUAUUUGAUGGAAAUGGGACGUGCGCUUCUGCAUAUAGUUAUUGGAUCUAUCAAUUAUUGUUUGAGCUAGCUAGUGUGGUAGUAUGUUGUGGUAUACCAUAUUUCAAUCAAUUAUUUUUUCUAUGAACAUGUGUGAUGUUGACCAUGCUUGAGAACGAUACAGAUUCCCAGGAAAAAAAUUACUUUGGUUCCUUUGCUGUGCAGAGUGAAUAUCAACAUGUAAUGUGCAGAUGAUGCUUAGAUAUAGUUAUGCCAUGUUUUGCUUUACUUGCUUGUACGGACUAACAAGAGUUGCUUUCAUAAAAAGCAUGGAAUCCACAAAGAUUUUACUUUGAUGUAUUGCUGUGGAAUGCUCCACCCCCAAAGGUUAUUGUAACAGUGUCUGAGGUAACUGCUACCGCCCGCAUUUUGGGGCUUCAAGAGCUGACGGUAAUUGCUUGUUUAAUGUUGUUGUGCCCCUAGUUUUAUUCUCACAGGGCUAAUCUUUGUACUGCAGAAGGAGAAGCCCUUCACCUUCCCCAAGAAGGCGCAAGAGCCAUUCUCCGUCUCCUAGGAGGCGCAAGAGUCAGUCUCCAUCACAAAAUCGUUACAGAAGAAAGAGAAGUCCGAGUGUCACUAGCUCUCCAAUCACCGCAUCUCAAAGUUCCCACCUUGGGUUGGCAGAAAAUAAGAAUGCUACUGAUAAGCAAAGGCUAGAAGAAAAGAAAAGGUGGGAAGUACCUGCUUUGCUACAUAGUCCAGAUUAUUCCUUCUACAGACCAAACUAUUAACUGCUGCGCCAUUUCCUGUACCUCUUCUUUGAUGUUGAUAAUGAAUUUAUACUAAUAUAGCUGCUGUUUGCACCAGAGUGUUUUUCAAGGUCAACUCUAUUUGACAAGCUGUCUAUCUAUUUUUCAAAGUUUCAGAUUACAUCAGCUGCCAUUUUAUUAUUGCUUUUUCAAAAUAAUAAUGAAAAAAAUACUUGAGAAAAUGAGAAUACGAAUAUUGGAUAAGGAUCACUUUGGUUUAAAGACAACUGCAAUUCCAAGUUUUGAAUUCAGUAGGAGUUCCUGCUUUGCUAGAAAUUGUAGCUUUCGGUGUAGCUAACUCCAAAGAAAUCAUCUGUGGUGGACAUAAUGCAUUGUAAUUGUCCUGUCAGAAAAGAGCAUUGAAAAUAAGUUGUUUAUUCUCAAUGUGUUGGAUGUAACAAAAUAGUUUGUAACUCUGUCCACAAAUUGAAUCCGUUUCCGAGUAAAAUAGUAUUUUGUGUAGGUACUCGUGCAGUUUGUUUAGAAUUUGAGUUUCGGUGUGUUGAAUUAGUAUCUGUGUUCCAACAGUUAAUCAAAACAUUUCUAUUUAUUCCAUGAAGUUUAUUUUGAACAUUUUCUUUAACAGUGCUCAAUAGAAUUUUGUGAAAUUAGCUGUACUACUCAUUACCUGUGAAAUUUUGUAUUGUUUUUUUUUGUGUUUAAGCUGAUAUCUACAGUAGAACCACUUCUUGAUUUUUUUAGUGACUUAUAUAUUUGAGCAGAGAUAAGUUGUUGCCAGGAUUACAUCAUAUGCUGCUUGAAAAGAAAUCUUAUGGUCACAGCUAUUCAGUUACGUUUGCUUUUGUCAUGUAGUUGAACUGUUUUUUUGUAGGAAAUAAUCUCAUCUGUCUGUUUAUGUUUAUUUGAGUGCCAUUGGAGUGGUUUUCUUUUCGGUAUAAAAGUUACUUAGUAUUACUCAAUCAUUUUUUUGAAGAAAUAGUAUUACUAAAUCAUUAGUGCCCAUUAUUCUUGGCUUCACUUACUGUGUGAUAAAUUCUCUGUAAAGACAAUCAUUUUAGCUUGGUUGUAGUACAAUAGUUUGGGAAUGUGUAUGUUGGUUUGAUCACUGCACUGUCAUGAUAUUUUAGAAGUAGUCCAAAAGGCCUGCAUGACAACUAUCGACUGUGGUGUCAUCUCAGUUCACUUCUUCAUGUUCUAAAUCUAUAAUGCAGUGAGAUUUAGCUUGUUUCUGUUAAAUUUAUUUAAGCCAUAGUGAUAGCCUGUCAUUUCGAAGUGUCCAAAAAUCAUUCUCCUGCUGCAGUUCCAAUUACAAGUAUUGUAUAAUUGCUUUGAAGUUUGAACAUUCACUUUGAUUGGGCAUGUAGCAUGCAAGAAUAUGCUUCAGCUGGAAUAUUGAAAUGCUUCAUGACAAACUCUAAAACUGCCACAAGUUACUUUGACAUUCUUCUCUACAGGUUUUACCAAAGGAAGCUACUGCUAUAGUUCCACUUGUUAUAUUUGAUGAUGCAAUUGGUGAUCCUUUAUCUACUCUUGACCAGUUUUGAUAAUUCGUUUUUGGAUCUGGAACGUACUAGAGGCGACAAAAAGAAGUUGAACUGAGACUAUUAGAGGAGGAAACGGCAAAAAGAGUUGAGCAAGCUAUUAGGAAAAAAGUUGAGGAGAGUUUGAAUCGUGAGGAAAUUAAGCAUGAAAUACAACGACGAAUUGAGGAAGGGCGAAAAAGGAUACAUGAGGAGGUAGCAAUCCAGAUUGAGAAAGAAAAGGAGGCAGCUUUAAAUGAAGCCAAGCAGAAAGCGGAACGAGAAAAACAGGAGCGGGAGGAGCAAGAGAAGAAGCUUGAAGAAGAACGAAAGAAAGCUGAAGAGGCAUUGAUGAAAGAAGCGAUGGAACAGCAGCAGAAAGAGCUAGAGCGGUAUCAGGAGCUGGAGAGGCUUCAGAAAGAAAGGGAGGAGGCCAUGAAGCGGAAACAGAUGGAGGAGGAGCAGCAGAGGCAGAACCAGAUGAAGCUGCUGGGCAAGAACAAGUCGCGGCCAAAACUGUCGUUUGCUCUUGGAAUGAAGUAGCAUCUGGCUCAUCGGAGUAAAACUAGCAUUUUAAUUCAUCUGUAACUGCAAAUCUGUGUAUGAAAGCGCCCAUGUGUUCCGCAGACAAUUUGCAAUGUGUUAAUUGAUCUUGAUCUGCUGCGUGAGGUGGGGUUCAGGGAUGCGUGAGAGGUCUUCUUACAUUAAUGCUCGGGGGUGGCUUGCCCGAGUUUUUUCCGUGAGGUGUACCUCUCAAUAUUCUUCAGCCACUCCUUUUCUGUUUCGUUGAACAUUGCGUAGGGACAAAACUGCCUCCAUAUGUAAGAGUAUAGUUGACUGACAAACUUUUAAUUGCUUGAAUGCAAAAGAUUUGGCAGGGCUUCA